UUUGUCGCGUUGUUCGUGAAAUCUCACGGCUUAACUGUGAGCGUGCGGGCGAUACGGGCAGACUUGAGUACUGCAGGGGAGACUGGAAUUCCUGGUGUAGCGGUGGAAUGCGCAGAUAUCAGGAGGAACACCGGUGGCGAAGGCGGGUCUCUGGGCAGUAACUGACGCUGAGGAGCGAAAGCGUGGGGAGCGAACAGGAUUAGAUACCCUGGUAGUCCACGCCGUAAACGGUGGGUACUAGGUGUGGGUUUCCUUCCUUGGGAUCCGUGCCGUAGCUAACGCAUUAAGUACCCCGCCUGGGGAGUACGGCCGCAAGGCUAAAACUCAAAGAAAUUGACGGGGGCCCGCACAAGCGGCGGAGCAUGUGGAUUAAUUCGAUGCAACGCGAAGAACCUUACCUGGGUUUGACAUGCACAGGACGCCGGCAGAGAUGUCGGUUCCCUUGUGGCCUGUGUGCAGGUGGUGCAUGGCUGUCGUCAGCUCGUGUCGUGAGAUGUUGGGUUAAGUCCCGCAACGAGCGCAACCCUUGUCUCAUGUUGCCAGCGGGUAAUGCCGGGGACUCGUGAGAGACUGCCGGGGUCAACUCGGAGGAAGGUGGGGAUGACGUCAAGUCAUCAUGCCCCUUAUGUCCAGGGCUUCACACAUGCUACAAUGGCCGGUACAAAGGGCUGCGAUGCCGCGAGGUUAAGCGAAUCCUUUUAAAGCCGGUCUCAGUUCGGAUCG
rnacentral:rRNA from 1 species